UACGUAGGGCGCAAGCGUUGUCCGGAAUUAUUGGGCGUAAAGAGCUCGUAGGCGGUCUGUCGCGUCUGUUGUGAAAACUCGAGGCUCAACCUCGGGCUUGCAGUGGAUACGGGCAGACUAGAGUGCGGUAGGGGAGACUGGAAUUCCUGGUGUAGCGGUGGAAUGCGCAGAUAUCAGGAGGAACACCGAUGGCGAAGGCAGCUCGCUGGGACGGUACUGACGCUGAGACGCGAAAGCGUGGGGAGCAAACAGG
rnacentral:rRNA from 1 species